CAGUCGCCACGGUAAUACGUAGGGUGCGAGCGUUAAUCGGAAUUACUGGGCGUAAAGCGUGCGCAGGCGGUUGUGUAAGACAGAUGUGAAAUCCCCGGGCUUAACCUGGGAACUGCAUUUGUGACUGGCAGGCUAGAGUAUGGCAGAGGGGGGUAGAAUUCCACGUGUAGCAGUGAAAUGCGUAGAGAUGUGGAGGAAUACCGAUGGCGAAGGCAGCCCCCUGGGCCAAUACUGACGCUCAUGCACGAAAGCGUGGGGAGCGAACAGGAUUAGAUACCCCUGUAGUCCCUGUCUCUUAUAC
rnacentral:rRNA from 1 species